rnacentral:tRNA from 1 species
ACUAUUUUGGCAGAUAAAUGUAAUAAAUUUAGAAUUUAUUAAUAUAUUAGUAAUAAUAUAAAUAGUA